GAUGAACGCUGGCGGCGUGCUUAAUACAUGCAAGUCGAACGGAAAGGCUCCUGCUUGCAGGGGUACUCGAGCGGCGAACGGGUGAGUAACACGUGGGUGAUCUGCCCUGCACUUCGGGAUAAGCCUGGGAAACUGGGUCUAAUACCGGAUAGGACCACAUUUUGGAUGGUGUGGUGGAAAGUUUUUCGGUGUGGGAUGAGCUCGCGGCCUAUCAGCUUGUUGGUGGGGUAAUGGCCUACCAAGGCGUCGACGGGUAGCCGGCCUGAGAGGGUGUACGGCCACAUUGGGACUGAGAUACGGCCCAGACUCCUACGGGAGGCAGCAGUGGGGAAUAUUGCACAAUGGGCGCAAGCCUGAUGCAGCGACGCCGCGUGGGGGAUGACGGCCUUCGGGUUGUAAACUCCUUUCGCUAGGGACGAAGCGCAAGUGACGGUACCUGGAGAAGAAGCACCGGCUAACUACGUG
rnacentral:rRNA from 1 species